rnacentral:rRNA from 1 species
UACGUAGGGUGCAAGCGUUGUCCGGAAUUAUUGGGCGUAAAGAGCUCGUAGGCGGUCUGUCGCGUCUGCUGUGUAAACUCGGGGCUUAACCCCGGGCCUGCAGUGGGUACGGGCAGACUAGAGUGCGGUAGGGGAGACUGGAAUUCCUGGUGUAGCGGUGAAAUGCGCAGAUAUCAGGAGGAACACCGGUGGCGAAGGCGGGUCUCUGGGCCGUAACUGACGCUGAGGAGCGAAAGCAUGGGGAGCGAACAGG